rnacentral:tRNA from 1 species
GGGUCGGUACCCAAGUGGCCAAAGGGAGCAGACUGUAAAUCUGCCGGCUCAGCCUUCGGAGGUUCGAAUCCUCCCCGGCCCACCC